AGUGAACGCUGGCGGUAGGCCUAACACAUGCAAGUCGAACGGCAGCACAGUAAGAGCUUGCUCUUACGGGUGGCGAGUGGCGGACGGGUGAGGAAUACAUCGGAAUCUACUUUUCCGUGGGGGAUAACGUAGGGAAACUUACGCUAAUACCGCAUACGACCUACGGGUGAAAGCAGGGGAUCUUCGGACCUUGCGCGAUUGAAUGAGCCGAUGUCGGAUUAGCUAGUUGGCGGGGUAAAGGCCCACCAAGGCGACGAUCCGUAGCUGGUCUGAGAGGAUGAGCAGCAAAGUGGGAAGUGAGAAACGGGCCGGACACCGACGGGAGGACGGAGGGGGAAGAUUGGACAAUGGGCGCAAGUCUGAGACAGCCAUAGCGGGUGGGUGAAGAAGGCCGUCGGGUUGGAGAGACAUUUUGUGGGGAAAGAAAAGAAGCAGGGGAAUACCGCGGUGUUAGGACGGGAAACAAAGAAUAAGCACCGGCUAACUUCGUG
rnacentral:rRNA from 1 species